rnacentral:rRNA from 1 species
UACAGAGGUCUCAAGCGUUGUUCGGAUUCAUUGGGCGUAAAGGGUGUGUAGGUGGCGCCGUAAGUCGGGUGUGAAAUUUCGGAGCUUAACUCCGAAACUGCAUUCGAUACUGCGGUGCUUGAGGACUGGAGAGGAGACUGGAAUUCAUGGUGUAGCAGUGACAUGCGUAGAGAUCAUGAGGAAGACCAGUGGCGAAGGCGGGUCUCUGGGCCGAUACUGACGCUGAGGAGCGAAAGCGUGGGGAGCGAACAGG